rnacentral:pre_miRNA from 1 species
CGAAAAUGAACAAAUCCUGGUUUCCGUGUCUAACAUUUGACCAUCCGUCUUAUUUAAAAAAAUUAAAAAGACAAGUCAUGCAUAAAGUAUUAAUCAUGUUUUAUCAUCUAACAACAAUAAAAAUACUAAUUAUAAAAUAAUUUCAUAUAAGACGGACAGUCGAACGUUGGACACGGAAACUCAGGGUUUGUCUUUUU